GUGUAAGUGUGUGCCUGCCUCCUAUCGAUGUGUGUGACAGCUUGAAAUGUAGACUUGAACUUUAGAGUUUGUCCAAAGUUGAAUGCCUCUUAAGCAAUAUAGACGGGCUAAGUCUUCACAGGAAUCCCUUGGUUAAAACCUCCUGACAAGAGACUGCAGAGUGGAAGGGCUCUAAACACUGAUCGUAGCCCCACUGAGGUGUGCAAUUCCUGAGACAAAAGGAGACAAAGGACGUAAUGGAUUUAUGGGUCCACUGCCAGGACUGCAUGAUGCCAGAGGCAACGGGGGCUUCAGCCUCCACAUGGCUGUCUGGCAGCAGAUUCAGCCUGAAGAAAUACAGACGUGACAGCAGGGAACAUAUAAAGUUGAUGCAGGCAGCAUGACCACCCUCACUGACUGGACUGGGGCCUUCAGUGCGCUCACCCACAAAUCAUUUCCACAAUAAAAUAAAUAUUAUGAAUACAAUAUAUUUUGUUCAUCUUUUCCAAAGACGUGAAGCACAAUCAUUCUCUGUGAUUUUAUUCCCUUCAGAUAUCCAAUAAAAGAUUGAAUGUAGACAUGCUUUUCUCCUCCUCUUCAAAGACAAUAUAUAUUUGUUGUAAUGGAAAGCUGAUAUUUUCUUCCUUGUUUCGUGACUCUUACACCUGCUGUUAAAUUCUCAGAAUCCAUGUGUGAAGAGGUUUUUUUCUUUACAUUUGUUUUAUUAAGGUGAUUUCAUUUUGUGAAGUCACAAAGUAUAAUGAGACUAUCUGGAAUGUUUUAUUGCUUUCGAAGUUCCCUGUAAAGUAGAAUACAGAGAGGUCUAAGUUUGAAGAUCUGGUCCUACACACGUAUAUCCUGAUACUGUUUUUAUAGGAGCUGCUUGGUCUCACAUACGGCUCUGGGUUUUUCAUCAAAGCGUCUUACAUCUGGG
ensembl:lncRNA